CCGUUCUAAUACCAACACAGGUGUGAUGGCCAUAGAUAGGCUAAGGCUAAAACAUACUCCCGGCAAAGGAACUCGGCAAAAUCAUAGUGUGACUUCGGAGGAAGCUAGACCAAUUUGUUAUUAAUAAAAACUUGGUGUCCAAGAAAAGAGGGCGGCGACUGUUUAACAAAAACACAGGACUUUGCAAAACUGUAAGGUUAUGUAUAAAGUCUGACGCCUGCCCGGUGUUAGUGAAUAAGAAAAAUUUGUGUAUGCAAAUUUUCUAAAUCCUAAUAAACGGUGGCCUUAACUCUAAGGGUCCUAAGGUAGCGAAAUUCCUUGGCAAAUAAUUAUUGUCCUGCACGAAUGGCGUCACGACUGCCCUGCUGUCUCUGCCGGGACGUUGGCGAAUUUGACAUGCCAGUGAAGAGGCUGGCAUCCUAGCAUGGGACAAUAAGACCCCGUGCAUCUUUACUAUAUGUCAUUCUUGUAUAUUUUUUUCAUAUUGUUCAGGAUAGGUGGGAGUAUAACAUAGUUGUUAUUACGAUAGUGAGAUACCACCCUUUAUAAAAAGAAUGUACCUCGUGCAUAAAAAAUAAAUUAUGCAUGAAAAUGGAUGAUUUGGUAGUUUCUCUGGGGCGGAGGCCUCCGAAAAAGUAUCGGGGGCGCACCAAGGUUAUGGCUGUGCCUAUUAUUGGCAUACAGCAAUGGGCAACCCUAAUAACAUAGCCUGACUACUAGGAUUACAAUCCGGGUAGAUACGCAAGUAUGUGGUAGUGAACUUACCAAAAGAUGUGGAAUUUUGGUAAAUCAACGGAUCAAAGAUACGCCGGGGAUAACAGGGUGCGACCAGAUAAAUCAACAUUAACAAUAUGGGUAUAAAACCACGAUGUCGACUCUUCGUAUCCUUCUGCUGUAGUAGGUUGAAAGGGUUGGACUGUUCGUCCAUUAAAACGGAACGUGAGUUGGGUUCAAUACGUCGUGAGACAGUAUGGUUCUUAUCUAUGCUAGGUUUUAGAUUUUGUAAAUGUUCCUUUAGUAUGAAAAGACCUUGGGGACCUAACCUCUGGUGCACGGGUUGUAUAUUUGUAUGCAUUGCCCGGCAGCUACGUUAGCAACUGUAACAGCUGCAAACAAAUCAAGCUGGAACGGUAUUUAUAGACUUAUCUAUUCAAUUGCUCUAGUCUAGAGCAUUGAUCGGCGUCUAGUAUAUUAGUGUAAACUUAUGGCUAGGACGUACGAAU
rnacentral:rRNA from 1 species